UUUUUUUUUGUUGAGUGACCCCUUCUCGCUCUAGCAAGAUCUUUUGCCGUUCUUCAAAUGGUAACAUGAUGUACCACUCAACAUGCAUGGGAGGUAAAAAAAAUGGUACCUAGGUACUAAUACUUUUGAUAGCUACAGUACCAAACUCAAGUUAUAUAUAGUUUUGAUACCUUACCAACGAUAAAAAAACUCCUUACAAAUGACUUCUAUGGCUUCUUAUAGACACUAGUUGCUAUAUGAUAUAAGGACACAACUAUGACAAUUAAGGAGUGGUGGGGUCUUUAUUAAAGGUUUGUUUGGACUUUGGAUACAAGGCGUAAUUGCUAGUUAGCUAAGAACUAGCUCGUGUAUCUAAAUAUGAGAGUUAAUAGGUGAGUUACUUUUAUAGUCAUUUUUUUUACUAGUCGUUAGUCAACAACCAGUAACUAGCCAUGUGUAUCUAAAUCUCCUACAACUAAAAAGAACAAAACGUGGAUACUUUUUGGUGCGACAUUCUAACGUGGGCCCAUAGUCCUGCCUGCUGCGUUCCCGUGGCCACUCUACAUCGUGCAUGACAUCCCUUGCGAUAUUCAAUUCAAAUCAAGAAUCGAUAUGUCAGGUUCCAGUUUUUAUACGAUUGCCAUAUGAAGCCUUUCCGCCAAAAGCCGUCCGACCACGGUGAAACAAAAAUAAUAAUAAAAUCUGCCCCAAUUCACGGACGGGUGACCAACGUGGCCAUGCAUGAAAGAAAUCGUCUAAAAAAUACUCAACUUUCCAUCUCUUCCGCUCCCUUUUCUUGAGAAAAAUGGUCAACCAUCGUGCAACUAAUCAGGAGACCAUCCCACCGAUCCCGCGUGCACAGCUGGCGGAAGCCCCUCGCGCGGUCACAAUCUCUCCUCAAUCAUGCACGGACAUCGCGUUCCUUAGGCAAAAGCAGAAAUUCCUCUCGAUCAUGCGCCGCCGCAACGAAACAUCUUCCUUUCCUGCCCGACGCCCUCGCUCUCGGUGCUUGGAGAGAUCGAGCCGAGCAUACCGGCUUCCCCUGAAGGCUUGAGACGGACACAGUUGACUGCUUCUUCGUCAUUGAUUGUCGCCAGCAACUGCGCCCUUGGCAUCGGUGUGGCCUUGCAAGAUUGGAUCUUUUUGUUUUCAUCCCAAUCAUCGCCAUGGCGGCCUCCUCCCCCUGAACGAUGAACGCAGCUGCUUCGUCAUUGAUGAUCAGCUUCUGACCCUUCACCAAUCUCUAUCCCCUAUUAUUUGUUCCAUCAUCUGUUCCACUUUCCACGAUUGAUUCAGUACUGGUGUUGCAAACUUAUUUCGAUUCUCAAAAAGCGAACAACCUGAUCGGUUUGGUAAGCAUCUUUCUAUUCCAGGCUAUCGAAGCUCUCAUUAAGCUUUUUGAUUCAGUUUGUGCCAAAGGUACGUUCUUGGCAAAUGCGAGCUGGCACCAUGAAGCAAAUUAUAGCUAUUGGAGUCCAGUAGAUAAUAUCUUGUGUGAUCUCCUUGUUCUUAAAUAGUGUAAUUUAAGAAAAAACUUAUUCAUGUUUGUUCUCUUCGACCUUUUUAGAUACAAGACACAGAUUAUUAUAUUGAUAUCAUAAUUGGUUGUGGCAUUGAGGUGUGUAAAUUUAUGCUUUUCUCUUUUCUGUCGGUGUUUAAACUCUCUUCUGAAUUCAUGCCAUCCAUUGACUCCAGGUGAGAAACACCUCCUGUUGUUUAAUUGUUUUUUUGCUCUUGCUUUCAGUAUGAAUAGUCAAAUAUAGUCAAAACAAUAACCUGGUUCAGUAGUAAUAAGGAAUCAAGCUAUUGCAACACUUCUUGUCAAAAAAAUGCAGCACUUCUAGAGUUGCUACGGGUUUUAAAAUUCUCACUUGCUGCACAUUAGGAGACGAAAUUCUUGGUUUCAGUUAGCAGAGUGACACUUAUCACUGUUAUCUAUAAGGCAAAUCUAACAACAUAGCACAGAUUGUGGACAUCAGUUUUUUUUUAGAAAGUGGACAUUGUGGGCGGCUGAGCGGGCACCUACGGGUGGGCGCGGCCGGCGUCAUGGCCAGCUCUGGGCGGGCGCGGGGUGGGGGAGGGGGGUGAUCAAGGCUGAAUCACAGGAAGGUUUCCUUUUAGGUGCUGUUAGCUUGGUUGGCUAAUCCCACACGCUUGAGGAGUUGCCUCUAGGAGGGGGCUGAAAUCACUUGGAGUUUCUUUUGAAUAUCGCAACGGGUGGAAAUAUUGAUCACGAAAAAAGUGGAAACAAAUAGCACCUUGGCUCUUUCCUUUUGAAUAUAGCAAAGGAUGCUGUAGGUGGGCGACGACGUUGUAGGCUCACAAAAUCACUGUCGUUUGCAAUAACAAAUACCUAUGAUUUAACUAUUUCUAUAUAUUGCUGAUCAUGAAUCUUCCUACAGGUACUUAAGUGGAUUUCUCAUCCUACAAUAUAUGUCUACAUGGAAUAGACCAAAAGCCACACAUAUUUAUACAGUGAGUCUAACACUUUGUCUAAGUUUUUGUAAAAGUUUUUUAACAAAAUAUAGUAUUACCCAUGCGACACACACUAAUAUUUACAUAUAUAUACUCGAAUGUGUGACAGGAUGGUACGAAGAUGCGGCAGAAUUUAUUUGUGGAUUUACUGGCACAUGAAAGAAAUGGAUAUCCGAGAUAUCUUCCCGUCGAUAUUAAACAUUAUCUUAGCCGUAUCACGGAAAGGUCUAUAAAGUAGAGUUUGUGAGCCUACAACGUCGUGCUCUUCGUGACUGUGUUUGAUUUCACAAACAUUGCGAUCCUACAAUGUCAUUUUCAAGUUGUUAUUUAAGUAGAAGAUUCUAAUAUUAUUAUCUUGUUAUGCGAUCUAUGUAUUUUAAAUAAAAAAUGUUAGCUAUCCCGUAGCAACGCACGGGCAUGCUAUCUAGUAGAGUAGAAUUGUAAAAGAGAACAAUGGUAAUUCUAGUGUACUAUUCUUGAGAUGUCUAGAAAUAACAAAAUAGAAGGGCUUUGCACGGAAAGAGGAAUGUACUGUGAAAAACAUGGCAUAACUUAUGCCGAGGCUGUUCGUUCCGUUAAAAAAAUAAGUUGAAAAGAAAGUAAUGUUCACUAAUUUAUUGUGUGAGAAAAAUAUUGUAUCAUAGCUGAUAAGUCUGUAGUGUCAUUGUUAUAUUCGUUUGUAACAUAAAUUUGCAAAACUCUACAUUUAACAUUUUCUCUUUUUUUUAGAAAAAAAUGGACAGACACGAGAGCUACCUUUUAUAUAGUACAGUCAGGCUUCUCCUUACGUGAUUGAGCAAAGCUCGGUUGAGCAAACAAGGAUGACACAUCUGAACAAGUUUAGAGACCGGAAUGAUAUAGACAAACAAGUUUAAUGAUCUAAAUGAUCAAUUUAUGAGUUUAGGGACCGAGAUGAUACGACAGGUGAUGGAUUUUACUAAAAAAACUCACAACAACUCAUAAAGUUGUUGAUGAAGCUGUGCCAAAUAAGGCCUCACUUGCUGAUGGUGUUUUCACCCUUUUCUUCUUAUCUCACCUUUUACAGAUCUUUUACAAGAAACAUCUUGUAAACAAAUGGCUUAACUCUUUUUGUUGAGUGACCCCUUCUCGCUCUAGCAGGAUCUUUUGCCGUUCUUCAAAUGGUAACAUGAUGUACCACUCAACAUGCAUGGGAGGUAAAAAAAUGGUACCUAGGUACUAAUACUUUUGAUAGCUACAGUACCAAACUCAAGUUGUAUAUAGUUUUGAUACCUUACCAACGAUAAAAAAACUCCUUACAAAUGACUUCUAUGGCUUCUUAUAGACACUAGUUGCUAUGAUAUAAGGACACAACUAUGACAAUUAAGGAGUGGUGGGGUCUUUAUCAAAGGUUUGUUUGGACUUUGGAUACAAGGCGUAACUGCUAGUUAGCUAAGAACUAGCUCGUGUAUCUAAACAUGGGAGUUAAUAGGUGAGUUACUUUUAUAGUCAUUUUUUUGACUAGUCGUUAGUCAACAACCAGUAAUGUGGGGGUAUAAACCCCUAUACCCUUACGGCUAGACUUCGGCCAGGAGGCUUGGCCCAUUACGAGACGAGUCCAAGGCUUGAUCCGACAACCUGGAGUUUCGCGCAAGGAAACAAGAUGUGGAGAUCAAGCAGGAUUCUAGUCGGUUAGAAUAGAAAUUGAUAUCGAAUUAUCCAUGACAAUUGUAACCGACUAGGGUUAGUUUCCGGAUCUGUAACCCUGCCCUCCAGACUAUAUAAGGAGAGGCAAGGGACCCCCCUAGGACAUCAUAUUCUCUCAACACAAAUCAAUACAACCAGACGCAGGACGUAGGUAUUACGCCAACUCGGCGGCCGAACCUGGAUAAAAAGCUUGUCCGUGUCUUGCGUCACCAUCGAGUUCGUAGUUUGCGCACCGUCUACCGAUAAACUACUACCGUGGGUAUACCCCAAGGUAGACUGCCGACUAGCUUUCGUCGACAGUGGCGCGCCAGGUAGGGGGUGUGCGUGCAACUUUUCCGGCGAACAAGAUGGUCACGAUCCCAGCUUCCGCGACCGUGCCCGAAGGCCUCACGUUCACCGUCGGCCAGAUCACGUGGACGGCGUGCAGCGGCGGCUUCACGACCACGGUUUCGGAAGAGAUCCAGAUCCAAUCUGAGUUCACGCCGUCUCCGACCACACGCAUGACGGCACCAAGCGCCCGACCACCGUUCCCACUCUACAAGGGAAAGGAGAUCGACUGCUCGGACCUUCUCCAAGCGCUUGAUCGCGCUGACUCCAAGCUACUCGAAGUUUCCCAACUAAUAGAUGGAGUUCUGCGUCGGCCCGACCAAGCUGCUCCAGCGGAUUUUUUCAAAUCCCGCCGGCCAACUCGUGUCGCCACACACGAACGGCUGGGAACGUCUCUGACGAUAACCUCAACCCCCUCAGGACGAUCCGUCCAGCUCAAGAAGGAAGACUAUCCUUGCGGCCUGAACAACUCGACCUCUGUUUACUCACGGCACACCCAAUCCGUUUUCAGCAAGGCGGGUUGGUCGCCGACAACGAACAAUCGUCACCACGUCAACAUGGUGACAAUCCGAGAACUACGGGACGGCCAGGCUUCCAGCACCAACUCAAGCACCGGCUCCGUCCCCACCGAGGUUAUAAACACCGAAGACGAGGACUAUGACCUGGAUUUCCCUUCAUACCCUCCGGGUUUCGACCGAUUCCCGAUAUUCCCCCCCCGGCGAGGGGAUAUUGUGUUCAAUGUCAGCGCCGACGAACCGGUCGUUGAUGGAGAAACAGAUGACCAGAGGCAACUCCGCGAACGGCGUAACGCCGAUCGCGCCCGACGACGCGCGGACGAGCAACAACAAAUGCCACCAAAUAAUCUCAACGAUGCCUUUGACAUGGUCGGGGACCAGCCAGUCUACAAAACGCCAAGCGCCAACGUGGCUGUCGCCAUGGCUAACCUGGAUCGGCUUCCCGACACCCCCGAAUGCCAGGGAGUCCGGACCAGCAUCCGAGCACACCUGAUCGCCGCAAUGGGACAGACGGCCACUCUGCUCAAGAGAGUCUAGGACGUCUCUUAUACGGAAGCCGUCUCCGACCAGACUAAUCAUAGCCGGGCCUCACCCAGCAGGCGUCACCGCAGCCGCUCCCCCGACAACCGUCGAGGGGACUCACGGCGCGACGAUGGUGGUCGGGACGCCGAUGGCCGCCGCAAGCAGAACCGCGUACGCGGCCAAGAGGAAGAUCAACACAGGGAUCUCCGCCACAACAUCCCUUCCAAAGAUGCCCGGGACCACAUCAACAGGCGCGCUGCAGAGAGAGCAGUCCACGAAAACCUGCGCCGCAUCGAGUACGAUGCAACACACGGUCCCCCGGGCCUAAGACAGUUCUCCUCGCACCUCCGCCAGGUCGUGUGGCCCCGCAAUUUCAAGCUCGAAAAACUCAAAAAGUACGACGGCAAGGAAAAUCCAGAGAACUGGAUCACCCUCUAUGACAUCGCCGUCCGAUCAGCGGCAGGGGACGAGCACGUCAUGGCUAACUACUUCCCCGUAGUCCUCGACCAGGCUGGUCAUCAGUGGCUUCUCGGCUUGCCCGAGGACUCCUUCGACUCUUGGGAAGAGCUACGCCAGGCUUUCAUCGACAACUUCAUCGCCACAUGCGAGCAGCCUGGAAACAAGUAUGACCUUGAAAGGAUAAGGGACAGGAAGAACGAACCUCUGCGCGAUUACAUCCGACGAUUCUCGGAUAUGCGCCUCAAAAUCCCGAAGAUUUCUCAUGACGAGGCCAUCUCAGCCUUCAUCAAGGGCCUGCGUUUCCACGAAGCGCUGAGGAACAAGCUGUUGCGUAAGCGUCCAACAACGGUAGCAGAGCUCCUCGCCACGGCCAAAAAUUACGCCGAUGCCGAUGACGCAGAAAAACUAAUCCGAGACGAUGCGAGGGGUCCCGACCAGCCUCCCCGACGAGAUGAUGGUCGUGGUCGCAACGACAGCAGAAAUCACCGCCGCUCCGACAACCGCGAUCAUCGAGAGGGUUGGGAUCGGCGGCGCGACAGCCGCGAUGACUUCAGAGGAAAGCGCCCUCGCGACUACGACCACGAAGUAAAUACGGUCAAACGACCCAAUGGACGACGGGACUACCAAGAAGACUACAACAAAACGUUGAGGGGACCAUGCCAACUACACCCAAAGUCCAAUCAUACCAUGGAAGAGUGCCGCGUCCUCAAAAGUAUCUAUACACGGCGGGCCGCCCAAGACGACUCCGCCAAGAAAAACAACAAGCGCGACGCGCACGACCACGAAGAUGAGGAUGAGGACCAAGAUAGGGACCCCCGACACCAAUACGUCAGCCCCACUGACGUGGUCCACUCCAUUUUCGGGGGCAAGGUCUCCACUGAGUCCAAGCGAGAAAGAAAGCUGUUAAAGAGAGCCUGCCUCAACAUAGACAGCACGGACGGGCUGAUCGCAGACCCGAAAUUUCCCACGUGGUCCCACAGGGAGAUCUCGUUCAGCAGGAAGGACCAGUGGGCCGCUAUCCCAGAGCCGGGUCGUUUCCCCCUGAUUCUUGACCCCUGCAUCAACAGCAUCAGAUUCGAGCGCGUGCUCGUGGACGGGGGAAGCUCCAUCGACAUCCUCUUCCGCAACAGCCUGCCCGCCCUCAAGAUAUCCCCGGCACAACUAAAACCUUACGACGCCCAAUUCUGGGGGGUUUUGCCAGGUCAAAGUUCCGUGCCUCUCGGACAGAUAACAUUGCCUGUCCAAUUCGGCACACCCGACCACUUCCGGACAGAGUUCAUCAACUUCGUAGUCGCGGAUUUCGACGGGACCUAUCACGCCAUACUGGGCCGCCCAUCGCUGACAAAGUUCAUGGCAGUCCCGCACUACUCAUACCUAGUCCUUAAGAUGCCCACGGAGAAGGGUGUCCUAACCAUCAGAGGCAACGUCUACACUGCGUACACCUGCGAAGAAGAAAGCUUCAAGAUCACCGAGGCAAUUGACCUCUCAAUCCGCAUGGCGGAAACAGCAAACCAAGCCGCACAGCUGCCUCCCGACCAGCUCCGAUUACCCGAACAGGCGACAGCCAGGAAGAACUCAAAAUCCAAGGAGUACAAAGAAGUGCAGCUGGUCGAAGGCAACCCCGAGAAGACAGCCCUCAUCGGGGCCAACCUGGAUCCAAAAUAGGAAGACGCGCUCGUCAGGUUUCUAAGGGACAACGUGAGCGUUUUCGCAUGGAAACCCGCAGACAUGCCCGGUGUCCCACGAAACCUGAUCGAGCACUCCUUAAAUGUCUCGAAGACCGCAAGACCAAUCAAGCAAAAACUGCGACGGUUCGCUCGUGACAAAAAGGAGGCUAUUAGGACAGAAAUAACACGGCUUCUAGCAGCCGGAUUCAUAAAAGAAGUGUAUCACCCCGAUUGGCUCGCCAAUCCGGUUCUUGUACGCAAAAAGAAUAAUGAAUGGAGAAUGUGCGUUGAUUACACUGAUCUCAACAAACACUGUCCUAAAGAUCCUUUUGGUCUCCCUCGCAUCGACGAGGUGGUCGACUCAACGGCCGGAUGCGAACUCCUCUCCUUUCUAGACUGCUACUCUGGUUAUCACCAGAUCUCGCUAAAGGAAGAAGAUCAGAUCAAAACAUCCUUUAUCACACCCUUCGGCGCAUACUGCUACACGACCAUGUCUUUCGGACUCAAAAACGCCGGAGCCACUUAUCAAAGGGCCAUCCAGCAAUGCCUCCACGACGAGAUUCGUGAUGACCUCGUCGAGGCCUAUGUGGACGACGUGGUCGUAAAAACAAGGGACGCGAGCACCCUAAUCGACAACUUAGACCGAACCUUCAAGGCACUUAAUAGGUACAAGUGGAAGCUCAACCCCAAGAAAUGCAUUUUCGGCGUUCCUUCCGGUCUACUGCUCGGCAACGUUGUCAGUUGCGACGGCAUACGACCAAACCCUUCAAAAGUAAAGGCGGUACUCGACAUGCGACCACCGAAGAACGUAAAGGAUAUCCAAAAGCUAACAGGAUGUAUGGCCGCCCUCAGUCGCUUCAUCUCAAGGCUAGGAGAAAAAGGCCUCCCUUUCUUUAAACUGUUAAAAGCGUCGGAAAAAUUUUUUUGGACAGAAGAAGCCGACACCGCAUUCAACCAGCUUAAGACCUUCCUCACUUCACCACCUGUCCUUACAGCCUGGAGUUUCGCACAAGGAAACAAGAUGUGGAGAUCAAGCAGGAUUCUAGUCGGUUAGAAUAGAAAUUGAUAUCGAAUUAUCCAUGACAAUUGUAACCGACUAGGGUUAGUUUCCGGAUCUGUAACCCUGCCCUCCAGACUAUAUAAGGAGAGGCAAGGGACCCCCCUAGGACAUCAUAUUCUCUCAACACAAAUCAAUACAACCAGACGCAGGACGUAGGUAUUACGCCAACUCGGCGGCCGAACCUGGAUAAAAAGCUUGUCCGUGUCUUGCGUCACCAUCGAGUUCGUAGUUUGCGCACCGUCUACCGAUAAACUACUACCGUGGGUAUACCCCAAGGUAGACUGCCGACUAGCUUUCGUCGACAAGUAACUAGCCAUGUGUAUCUAAAUAGAGUAGAAUUGUAAAAGAGGACGAUGGUAAUCCUAGUGUACUAUUCUUGAGAUGUCUUGAAAUAAUAAAAUAUAGAAGGGCUUUGCACGAAAAGAGGAUGUGAAAAACAUGGCUUAUGCCGAGGCUGUUUGUUCGGUUAAAAAAAUAAGUUGAAAAUAAAGUAAUGUUCACUAAUCUAUUGUGUGAGAAAAAUAUUGUAUCAUAGCUGAUAAGUCUGUGUGUCAUUGUUAUAUUCGUAACAUAAAUUUGCAAAACUCUACAUUUCUCCCUUUUUUUUAAAAAAAAUGACAGACACGAGCUACCUUUUAUAUAGUACAGUCAGGCUUCUCCUUACGUGAUUGAGCAAAGCUCCUGCCAUUUCUUAAAAAAAUGCAAGCUCGGUUGAUAAGGGUUUUGCCGUUUGAGGCUUCCGUUGAGCAUCACGUUUGUGUAAACUCAGAAAAUAAACUAAAAGCUGCUGUGAAGUGAUUUCGUGGCUUUUGAUUUGUUCUGGAAGCUAAAUAAAUAUUAAAUAAAUUUAAUAAUAAAAAUACAGCUACAAAAUCAGCUUUUAUGUCAGAAGUACAAAAGGUACCGCUCAAACAAACUAGCCCUUAGGGGGGCGUUUGGUUGCCUACACCAGUCCUCCUGAGCCAGGCUCUCCGCGUGCGAGAACAGACAUUUGUUUGGUUGGCAUAUGUGCCGAGCGAGGCUACACGCGUGCAAAAAGCCUCUCGCAGCCAGGCUCUGCUGAAACGCAGAAAUCGGCCGUUUUUGUUGGGCCUGGCUCACCUCAUGCGAGCAAGCACUGAACGAUGCAUGACGUGUGAGAUAGAGAUACGUGAACACGGUGAACCAAACAGAUGCUGCUGUUGGCCUAGCUGUAGUGAUCCAAGUAACCAAACAAGAUGCUAUCGCAUACAUAGAGCCUGGUCAAAGUUGGCCUGACUAGCUCUGUGCGAGCUAGGCUCUACCGAGCAACGAACCAAACAGUCUCUAGAUGUCUUCUUCUCACUGUGUGAAAAAAUGGCAUUACAGACGCGCCUUUACUGAUAUCACAGAUGCUCCUGAGUGCGUCAGUGAUAUAAAGUCUGAUAAAUAUUUAAUAAGACCUUAAUACUGACGCACUUCUAACAUCCGUAUGUAAGUAACACAUAGACACGUCAGUAGUAAAGCUUUUUCAGCGACGCCUAUCUAGAACACACGUCAUUAAGGUCCAGCUCGUCAGUACAAAAUUCUAACUGCAGACGCUUCUUCAGGAAUAGGGGUCUGUAGUAAGGAUUAAGCCACAGACGCAUUAUCCAGAGACGCGUCUACAGUAUGAAUUAAAUUGUAACAGUACCAUCGGCAUAUCUCUGUACUAAAUACCUCAAUGAAACGACAUAAAUACACAUCAACAUCUCAUUAAUUAGUACACAGCUUUAACACAAUCAAAUACAGAUCAAAGUUUAAUCACUAAAUUAAAUGUGUAGCUCUAAUAAAGUCACGUUACCUUAUGGCUGGCUAUCGAAUAACUUAUUUUGUAGCUUGAUCAAAACUGGCUCGUGGUCACCAGCGCACCAUGUGUGUCCAUUCAUCCAUGGCAGCUUAGGCGCGUGGCUUUGGCUUUGUGUCUCCCACCUCUCUAGUGAACGCGAUAGCUCUUGAAGUUUUUAUAUUUUCCAAAAUAAUUUCAAUUUUAAACGCGUACUAAAACAAAUUCAGGGUUACUGAUACAAAAUAUGAGAUCGGGUCGUAGAAAAAAGUGCCGAGAGAAAAACUUUUAGAAUAAAAAUAUAGAAAACUUUUGAAGAUGAUUUCUUUUUUUACUCCUCAUGUUAAUCUAGGAGUUCAUAAACAUGAUAUUUUGGGGAAUAUAAUAUAAAAGAUCUCUUGGAGAUGCUAUCUUUUCUUCCACCUCUCUAGUGAACGGUAUAGCUCUUGAAGCACAAAUCCAAUUCUACGGACGUUCAUUCAUUCUACCUCUUGAAGCUUUCAUAUUUUCCAAAAUAAUUUCAGUUUUCAAGACAUAUUCACUGGAACAGCCUCCCAAUAUCUAUUCAAAAUGUAUUCACACGAAAAAGUAAAUAUAUAUUCCAAAUGAGCAAAAUUCCUUAUUUGGUCAAACUUGCGUAGGAUUCCAAAAGGGUUUUUUUGAACGGUGCCAUUACAAUUUCAAAGUAUUUGAAAUAUGCCAUUAUAAUUCAGGUAUCCUGAAGCGGACCAUUACAAUUCUUGCAAAAUUUGAAAUAUGCCAUUGGAUACGGUAGAAGGACGCUUGGGCCUGCUUGCAAGCCGACGUGGCAUACGGUCGACCGUAUGCGCCCGUCGCCGUGAGCCAUCUAAACGGCGCGGCAAAAAACGCCGUCUCCACCCCGCCCCUGACUCAUUCUCGCUCUCCAUCUCUCUGUCUCUCUCGAGCGUAACCCUAGGCGCGGCGGCGGCGGCGUGGCGGCGGCGGCGCAGGGGGAGGCAAUGGAAUAGGGGCGCAUGUCCAUGGCAGACGUGCCCCCGUGCACGGCGCAGCGCAGGGCGCCGCGGAUGGGGGAUAGCAACGAAAGGUAAUGUUUUGUCCUUCCAGAGCACGAAUACGAGUGCAUUAGGUCUUGAUCUGUUGAUUGGCAUUAGAUAUUGAUGUGAUUUGGUUGAUGCUAGGGUUCCGCUAUUUUCUUUAGAAAUUAAAGUGGAAGCAUUCUGUUGGAGAGACUCUUUGGGUAGGAAAGCUUACACAAAGGGCUCUGUAAUUAAGUGGGAUGUGGAGAUUGGCUCGUUUUCAUUUGAUGUACUGAUGGCCAGCUUGCGCAAUGCUGUCAAUUGCUCUACUACUCAGUGUCCAGUUGCUUGGUUCUAUGAUAAAAGGUUGUCUCAAGAUGUCAUGCUAGAAAAUCAAUUCCAGAUUAAUGAUAUGUUUGAGAUGUAUAAGGAGGAGAUGCAUUGCCACAUUGUCGUAGGGGUAUUUGAUCAGUCUGUUCCCACUAUUGAUCAAUUUGAUGAACUAGAUCUUCCUCCUGACACUAGCACUGGCAACCCAGCCAGUACUGACAGUUAUGUUAACCAGCCCACAUUUGAGGCAGAUGUUGCACCAGAGGCUGAAGUUGAGACUCAACUUGAGCCUGAUAGGGAACCUGAUAUGUUUGAUAACGAUGAGGAGUAUGUGGGUUGUGAUGAUGAGGGCAUGUACAUGCCAACACCACCAACACAGCCUCCUAGUAAUUCACCUCCACAUGCUUCUCAUGAUGCUGAAAAUGCUGAUGCUGAUGCUGAUGCUUUUCCUGUUGAGGCAGAGGUCACUGAUGCAGACCCUGAAGAGAUCAAUAUCAUUCAUGACCCAGAACAUCCCAAGAUUGUAAAGGGGGAGUUAUUUCCUGAUAUUGUUUCAUUCAGGAAAGCUAUCAGGCAUUUCUCUGUUACUAAAGGCUAUGUGUUAGCUGGUAUCAAAACAGACCCAUCAAGAUUUAUUGCAAAGUGCAAAUCCGAGGGAUGUCCUUGGCGCAUACAUGCAUCUAGGCUGCAGGGUAGAAAGACAAUACAGGUAACUGUCUAUUCACUAGUUCCUUUGUGCAAGUUUUAUUUUUUCUUUACCUGACAUGUUUCGUAUGCACAGAUCAAAGUACUGCCUGCAGAAGAUGGCAUCACAGUCUUGGUGUGCAGAUAGGCUGGCAGAUUGGAUAAAAAAACAUCCAACAAAACGUGCAAAAGAGUGCAGGGAGAAGUUGGAAGAUGAUUAUGGCAUCAAGCUGAAGUAUUCAAAGGCUUGGUCAGGUAUGCAGUGCGCAUUGGAUCAAAUCCAUGGUAAAUAUGAGGAAAGUUUUCAACUGCUAUUCAAUUGGGGUGCUCAAAUUGAAAAGGUAUCUCUUGGUAGCACUGUAGUGGUAGAGGUUGACAAAAUUGGUAAGAAGAACAGAUUCAAAAGAAUGUUUGUUGCUCUAAAGCCUUAUGUAGAUGGAUUCUUGGCUGGUUGUAGGCCUUUUUUGGGUAUAGAUGCAUCUUGUUUGAAUGGAAAGUAUAGAGGUCAGCUAGCUUCAGCAACCAGUGUAGAUGGACAUAAUUGGUUGUAUCAUGUAGCUUAUGGCAUUUUUGACAUAGAAAAUGAAGACAACUGGACAUGGUUCUUGCAACUUCUUAGUAGAGCAAUUGGGCCUGUCCCAAAUCUUGUAGUUUGUACAGAUGCAUGCAAAGGCGUGGAGAAUGCAGUGGGUAAAACUUUUCCAACAGCUGAGAAUAGGGAAUGCAUGAGACAUAUGUACCAAAACUUUUAUGAAGCACUAUUCUAGUGAUGUAUUCACAGACCACCUUAUCCUACAGCUAGAAGUUACACUCAAGAAAAAUUCCAGUGGCACAUGAAUCAGAUACAUGAGUAUGCUCCUCAAGCUAUAGAAUAUAUUGAGAAUUACCACAGCAGGAUAUGGUACAGGUGUGGGUUCUCAGAAAGUAGCAAGUGUGAUUAUUUGACCAACAAUGUGUCAGAAAGCUUCAAUGCACAGGUGAAGCACCUCAAAGGUUUAUUAUUACAUGAACUGGUAGAUGUUGAUAUUUGGUAACGCAAUAAGGAAAUAAUCCGCAAGCGCACGGAUAUCGGUGAGCAUUUCACCCGGGAGGUUUUCCAGAGUAUCGUAUUUAUAUUUUUACCACUGGGAGAAAGGGUGCAUCUGACUAACCAAAUCUAUUGCUACUAUCCCUUUAGGCUACAAAGAAUGUUUCUCAAUGUGAGUGAUAUAUAGAGAAGACUGCAACCGUAGUCUCGUUCUAACCUUGGUAAGGAUGAUCUACUGUUCUAUUGGGGAAGCUUACGGAAUCUAGACACCACAAAGGAUGUUUGACCCGCACCUAUAAACCUACCCGUCCUGCUAACAAGAUAUGGGAUACAAAGGUAACUCGGAAAUGUCACGUUCCUCGCUACUACCACGGUCCAGCUAGUCAGGGGAUAUCUAUGAGUACCCUAGUGAAAGGUCCUAAUAUGGCUAGAGGGGGGUGAAUAGCCUAUUUAAAAAUUCUACAAACUCACUAGAGCGAGAGGUUAGUAAAUAACAAAGCGAAGCCUUUUGCUCUAGCUCUAAUGGGGUGUUUGCAAGCCACCUGUCCAACAAUUCUAGUUGAUAUAAUCACUAGACACACAAGAGCUAUGUCACUACUUACACUAGAAAGCUACCUAAAGUUUCUAUACAAGUAAGUAAGCUACUCUAGUUUGCGGGAAUGUAAAAGAGAUGGUUUUAACUUUAUACCGCCGCAUAGAGGGGAUGAACCAAUCACUAAUAUGAAGUCCAAUCACCGGGAGAAAUCCAAUGAACAAUCACAAUGGAUACACACAAUUUUACUCCCGAGGUUCACGUGCUUGCCGGCACGCUACGUCCCCGUUGUGUCGACCAACACUUGGUGGUUCGGUGGCUAAGAGGUGUAGCACGAACCUCGUCCUCACUAGGACACCACAAGAACCUACCCACAAGUGAGGUAGCUCAAUGACACGAGCAAUCCACUAGAGUUACCUUUCGGCUCUCCGCCGGGGAAGGUACAAGACCCCUCACAAUCACCGGGAGAUGGCCACGAACAAUCACCAACUCGUGCUAAUCCUCCUCCGUUGCUCCAAGCCGUCUAGGUGGCGGCAACCACCAAGAGUAACAAGAAAACCGCAGCUAGAACGAUCCCCAAGUGCCACUAGAUGCAAUCACUCAAGCAAAUUCACUUGGAAUCACUCCCAAUCUCACAAAGAUGUUUAAUCUAUGAAGGAGAUGAGUGGGAGGUGUUUGCUUAGGCUCACAAGGAUGUUAUGUAUGUUAGAAUGCCAAGAGAGUGAGCCCCAAGCCGGCCAAACACGUAUUUAUAAGCCCCUCAAGCAAAUAGAGCCGUUGGCACUUUCACUGGGCAAACUGCGGGGUCACCGGACGCUCUCAAAGGGGCACCGGACGCUCAACACCAGCGUCCGGUGCUCCAACGUCAGCCAUGUGUCGCCUUUUGAAAAACUCGUGUCAGAGUCUAACGGUCACCUGCAGUGCACCGGACGCUAAGCAAGUUAGCACCGGACGCGUCCGGUGCACACCGGACUCAUGCGCAGAGAGCUCCGCAAACUCGCACGGUCACCGGACGCAAGCCACCGGACGCACCCUGAGCAUCCGGUGCUCACCGAACUCAUGCGCAGAGAGGGUUGCAAAACGCCCUCACACCGGACGCUAACCACCGGAAGCGUCCGGUGCUCACCGGACCCAUGCGCAGAGAGGGUCGCAAAACGCCCACACACCGGACGCGCACCACCGGACGCUCAAGCCAGCGUCCGGUGCCUAUCGUCCGGUGCCUUACCCUAGCUGGGCCAGGCACUGUCUGCACCGGACGCUCAGACGCAGCGUCCGGUGCUCCAGAAGCCAGCGUCCGGUGAGUGUUUUCUCAGCGAGAAACACUCCCACGACUACUCCAAAUUUCCUACCGACGCAAUAGAAAAUAUGCAUUUUAUUUUCUCGAAAAGCGCCGAAUCCCACCUCGCAAGCUCGGCGGGAGGGAGAGAGGAACCCAUCCUCUCUCUACGUACUCUUCAAACUCCACCUCCUUCUCAAAGUGUGCCAACACCACAAGUGUAAACCAACAAGUGUGCACGUGUGUUAGCAUUUUCACAAUCAUUUUCUUAGAAGGAGUUAAGUUAGCUCACUAGGUUCUAAAUGCAUACACAUGAACAAUGACACCUAGUGGCACUUGAUAACCGCUUAGCCAAAGAAUUCCCCUCUUUAUAGUACGGCUAUCUAUCCUAAAUGUGAUCACACCCUCUAUGGUGUCUUGAUCACCAAAACCAAAACCCUAAGCAAUACCUUUGCCUUGAUCUCCAUAGGGUUUUGUUUUUCUCUUUCUUCUUUUCCAAGUUGAGCACUUAAUCAUCUUGUGGUCAUCACCAUGAUCAUCAUGAUCAUCACUUGCUCCAUCACUUGGCAUGUACCAACCUCAUUAAGUCUACACACACUUAGUAUAGAGGUUAGUACUAGGGUUUCAUCAAUUAUCCAAAACCAAACUAGGGCUUUCACCUAGCCUAAACACCACGUUUACGCUAGCAAUAAUUACUCUAAUACUCAACCGGAAGAGGAUUAAAUUAAACUCAUAAACCAAAGAACAAUAAAACAAGAACUUACUAGAAUUAGAAGUCGAAUUACUGAAGAAUCUUAGAAGCAAGCCUCGGGUUAGAAGACUUGAUCCCGCAGGUACAACUCGGAGUAGACACCGACAGGUCGGCCUUCCUCCGAUCUACACCUCCACUCUAUCUCUCUCAAUCUAGUAGAAACUAGAAGAUCUAUUUCUACUUACAUUGGUUGCUAAGCCUAAAAAAAUAUUAUUUAGAGAAGAGGUUUUCCUUCGAGGGCACCCCUCAAUCUCUAUGAUAACUUCUUGUCUUCUCCAGGGGCCAGGGGGGUCUCCUUAUAUAGUCCUCCUCCUCUAUGCGUUUUUGGGUCGGUAGGCGAUGUGGUACUACAUUAUCCUUGAUCCAUUAGGUCGGUGGAACAUCGUGUGCGAAGAGAGUCCCGAACGGAGUCUAGGACACGGCGGGCGCCCAGGGAAAGAGGGCGGGCGCCCUGGGCCUGGCCCCUUUCGGCCUCUGCUUUCUUCCCGUGGCUUCUGGAGUCUUCUAGAUGGUAGAAAAUUACGCGGUGCGUUGAUAUCUCUAUGUAAUCCCGACAUGUGGGCCUUUCUUCCGUAUUUUUUGAUAACCCCCUGCAGAAAUAGACAAACACCAAAACUCAUGGAAUUCUGUCAGAUAAAACCCUAAGUCUAGAUGUUGAUUUCAUUUGGAUCCUUUUCUUUGUUUAUUUGAUAAUUAAAUUUGAUACUUAAGGACCGUCAACAGUAGACAGAAUUAGAGAGCUUAUAAUGGAGAAGAGAUAUUUGAGGAAGAAAGUUGCUAGGCAGUGGGAAGAUGGAAUCCUCCCAAAUGUGAUGAAGGAUUGUUGGGUAUUCUUAACAUCAUUACCAAAAGUAGACUAAGUUCUCUAAAUCUAGUAACGGUGCCAAAAAUGCCAAACCUAUCCCUCACACCACUUAAGCCAAGUUGUCAUCCCCAGCAUGACAUGAGAGACGCGGUAUUGAAAUAUGCAAUUGCUCUUCUAAAUAAAUAAUGAAUGAGAUCUGCAAGCGCACAGAUUAAUACCGAUGUAGCAUUUUAACCGGGAAGUAUUCUAGGUAUCGUUAUUUAUAUUUUUACCACUGGGAAGGGAUUAGCAAUCAUCACUAUUGAUUACAGAAUAGAAUAUGAGAUUGAGCAUCUAUCAUUGCAUGUAUAAUUGAGAACAUUUAUCUAACUCUUCAUACAGGGAUAAGUGUCACAUAAAAGAUAUAUGAAAUAAUAAUAGUGACAAGGAUAACUAAUCUGAUCUAGCCACAUAAUAAAUAUGAUAAGCACCUCAAUUAGAUACUCUAGAAAGUCAUUAGCAUGGUAUUAGAACGAACUAUAAGAAUAUUCCCUAAGUUAUUCUCAACUAUAUAGUUUAGCAUUAUCAUAGUUAGUGCAAGCAUACUUAGCAAUCAUUGUGAGACAAGACUACGCCCAUGCAUAGUGAUAUUAGCAAGGAAUAUGAGAAACAUAGCAAUCACUCCCCUAUAAUAAUGUUGCUCUGCCAGCCCAAUACACGAGAGGGGGACUAUAUAAGAAUCAAUGAAGCUGUCACUAUCACGAACCACCCCACGAUCUGGCAUAUUGGGUACAAUCGCAGAUAAAUAUGGUAUAAGCACCACGCCUACACAAUAUCUAUCAUUUACCCAUGGAUCCGAUGGAUAAACGCUAUACGAUCCUAAGCAUGUAUAUAGAUCGAAUCUAACUAAGCCAAGUACAUAACUAUGAUAAACUAAGAACAAUAUAAUCUUGAAUAUAAGCAAGUAGAGCAAAGUCAUAAGCAAUAUAUUGAAGUAGAACAAAGUCAUAUUUAUAAUAUUGAAGAACAAAGAUAAUUAGAAAGUAAUUAGAAGCACAAUUAGAGAAUUACCAAGAAUCCUCUUGACAGAUCCGGAAACCAAUCGAAGAUUGACUCCUUCUAGUUCUAAUCCUAUGUAGCUAUGCUAAUCUAGAUAUCUAAUUGAUGUGGUGGCUCUAAUCUUGAUCAGAGGCUUCUUCUCCCUUGAAGAACAAUGAAUUAGGGUUGAGAGGCUCCCCCCUCUAGGGGCCAGGGGGUCUGGUUUUAUAGUCCCUUCAAGUGAAUAUGGGCCGUUGGAUCAAACCGACAUAGAUUGUAUGGUUUAGAUUCAUCCUUUAGGUCGGUGGAAAUCUCCCACGAAGCAGAGUCCUGAUUGGACUCAGGAGGUGGGCGGGCGCCCUGAUCACCUGGGCGGGCGCCCAGGGUCACGCCCCGUUUCGCCUCCGCUUCGGUUUCGUGGCUUCUGGAGUCUUCUAGAUGUAAGAUAAUUGCGCGACACGUUAAUAUCUCUAUGUAAUCCCGACGUGUGGGCCUUUCUUCCGUAUUUCCUGAUAACCCCCUACAGAAAUAGACAAACACCAAAACUCGUGGAAUUCUGUCAGAUAAAACCCUAAGUCUAGAUCUUGAUUUCAUUUGGAUCCUUUUCUUUAUUUAUUUGAUAAUUAAAUUUGAUACUUAAGGACCAUCAACAAGGAUCUCAACCUGAUCAGUACUCAACUCAAUGUAGUCAAGGUCAAAGUCAGUGAUGAUAACACUGCUGAAGUUACAAUCCUGGAGUGGGAGAAGCAAAGGAGGCACACUGUGGACCUAGGAAACCACAAUUGUUCCUGCAGGCAGUGGCAAGUGACUGGAAAGCCAUGUAAGCAUGCUUUGGCUUGGAUACUGUCAAUCCCAGGGAUGAGAAUUGAGGAUUAUGUACAUGAGUACUAUUCAGUUGCUAGAUUUAAGGCAGCUUAUGCUGAUAGGAUUGAGCCUAUCCCAGACAAGGAUGAAUGGCCUGUUGUCAACCUUGGUUUUAAAGUGUAUCCUUCAUUGCUAGGCAGAGGUCCAGGAAGGCCAAGGGUUGUAAGAAUUAGAGGGACUUUUGAGCAGAGGGCCACGAAGAAGAAAGUUAGGUGCAAGAGAUGUGGUGACUUUGGACAUUUUUCCAAGACCUGCAAGUUGCCAGAACUAGGUGAAGAUGGAGAAAGAGGACAAGGGUCUUCAAAAAGGUAUUAAAACUAUUGUCUAACCAUUUUAUUAUUUUUUCCUAUGUACUAAGAUCUAACCGGCUAUUGUCAUCUCAACGCAGAAAGAGGCCGACUCAGCAAGUGUCAUCACAGGAAGCUCCAACGCAGGAAGUACCAACACAGGAUGAUGCUGGACCUUCCCAGGUGAAGAAGACCAAGCCUCUGAAGAAGGUUACAACUAAGAAGAAGAAGAAGACACCAAAGAAAACAAAGCUGCAGAGGGAAGCAGCUGCACCUGGGAAGGCUGUUAUCAGCAGCAUCAGGCACCUGAUCUAUGAUGCUCCACAGGAUGCUGAUCUAUGAUUCUCCACAGGAUGCUGAUCUAUGAUGCUCCACUUAUAUGGCUUUGUUCUGAACCUUACUAUGUAAUGAGGCAUUAGAAUGCCAACUUGGAACUUGUAUGGCUGAUGCUGCUACUAUGUAAUGAGGCAUUAGAACUUGCCAACUAUUUUCAGUCAUGUGAACUCUACUUAUGUUAGUUUGUACUCUCCUGUAUUGUGUCAAUUAUCAUGUGAACUCUACUUAAAAUGUUAAGAAAACAAGACAAAGUGCUGCAGAAAUUCUAAUAUAUUUUGAAGCUGAAAUUCUAAUCUAUUUUCAGUGACAAAAGGCAUAGGACAAUGCUGAUCAUACUCAUCGAAGAAACUCAGUGACAAAAUGCUUGUUCUUUCAUUGCAAAUACACAUAAUUACAGUCACUUCAUCAUCUGAGAAAAACCUACACCUAGCAGUACACCCACAAGGACACCUACAACAACAGAUACAUCCAACACAAUUUGCAUUUUCCCCUUCCUGCCCAAGUCCAGUGCUGGACUCUGAUUACUAACUUGACUAGGAACAGCAACAACAUCUCUGUCUCCAAGUUGCACCUUCAUUUUCUCAAGUUCAGUGACAACUCUAUCUAGAGUUUGCUUCAUCUCCUUGUCCCGUUGAUUCAAAUCAUCAUUAGGAUCCCCAACUGCUGAAUGAAGGGGCAACUGCAGCUGAAUCUCUUUCUCCUUUUGCUUCAUAAACCAUGCCUCGUACUGCUCCUCCGAACGAAUCCAGCCACAAGUUGUUGGAUCACCCUGUGCAAGCAACACCAGUCAAAUUGAAAACAAAGGAAGCACAUUCAAGGGCAUAAACAAUGCAAAUAGUUACCUUUACGUUGUUUGGGCACUUGAUGAAUGCGACAUCCUUUGAGUGCUCUUGCUUGCUCACGAUUCGGAUCAAAGGAACAUUGCACACUGGGCAGUUCAGUAGGGGGCACUGCACCCUUCUACUGCCAGCAGCGGAAGAGCUCGAGGCCAUCUUCAUCUGCAGCGCCGCCGUCGGGAUCGUGGCACCGGAAUCGCCGCCGCCGCGCCUAGGGUUACGCUCGAGAGAGACAGAGAGGUGGAGAGCGAGAAUGAGUCAGGGGCGGGGUGGAGACGGCGUUUUUUGCCGCGCCGUUUAGAUGGCUCACGGCGACGGGCGCAUACGGUCGACCGUAUGCCACGUCGGCUUGCAAGCAGGCCCAAGCGUCCUUCUACCGUAUCCAAUGGCAUAUUUCAAAUUUUGCAAGAAUUGUAAUGGUCCGCUUCAGGAUACCUGAAUUAUAAUGGCAUAUUUCAAAUACUUUGAAAUUGUAAUGGCACCGUUCAAAAAAACCCAUUCCAAAAUAGAAAGUCCUUUUCCUUCCCAAACAGAAAACCAUGUUUAUCUGCCAACAGUUUCUAACCCAUGGGUCCCACGGGUGCCAACGGUUUCCCUCUUGAUCCUCCCCAAUCGCCCGCUCACACCACCACGCCGCCACGCCGCUCAUCGUUAACUUCCUGCCCUCCACGGACUUAUCCGCUCGUCGCGCCCGCCUCAAGCUAAUGACGAAUCUAAUGAGUAGAAGAGUGAGGGCAUGUGUCCUUAAGGAAAAAAAACGUCUUCGACCAGAAAUCUCCACCUGCCGCGCUGUGGAGUUCUCGUGCUGGGGCUCCUCCCCGUGCGUCGCCACGGUGCCGUGGCUGACCACACGAGCGCGGCUUGGCAUGCGUCUAAAGAUACAGUGGCCGUUGUUGGAGAUGACCUUGAAGCUGUGCAUCUGCCAUUCUGCCUUCCAUUGGUGCCUAUGGGGUACACUGUCAAACAGCGCUGGUGCCCCCUCCAUCGGCGCGGGAGGAAGAAGAUGACCAGGUUGAGCGGUGUGGAACCGUCGUAAACGAAUCUGCGCGGUUUCUCCCAACACGGUUGACUGUGGGCUGAUUUACGGGUACACGGUUAGUAUACAGCAUCGUACAUACCACUCAUAUAUAUAGUCAUAUAUAACAUCUCAAGUCCAUACACGGCACACUGCUUAGAGAACCUUUAUUUAUUUUGUAUGAAAAAGGGACAUGAAAGAAAACCAUUCUCCGAAUAUAUCAAAACAUGUAUAAGGCUGCCCGUGAAGUAGAAUCGCAUCCCCAUCCACAGAUUUAGUUGUAGGCGUCGGGGUUGGCGACGAGGUAGGCCUCGGCACCCUUGAAAAUGGCGGUGAGUGCCUCCUUGGCCUUGGCUUCCUCGUCCUUCUCGUCCAUGCCCGGCAGCAACUUGUAGGUCGACUCCACCUUCACCACGCUGCCGCCGUCGGCCGUGGGCUCCACCUUGAUGUGUGACGCCGCGGUCUCGAUGGCAACACCGAUGCCGCCGCCCUCGACGAGCGUGUUCUUGCACUCGCACUUGUCCACGUCCAGGAAAUCGAGCCUCUCCUUCAUGAAGCUGAACGGCAUGACUGCAAGAACGAUCGCGCACGUCAUUCGCUAGCUAUUUGAUCGAUCGAUCGGGCGACAACAUGUUGGUCUGGGCGACUGGGCAUGCUGCGGACACUUACAUGAGGUGAAGUUGAACUGCCUGACGCUGCCAACGCCGCCGUCGCCCUCCACGGGGUGGGCGCUGGCGACGACGUGGGAGGCGACCUUGGGCGCCAGGGUGUGCCAGUCCAUCACGGCGGCGCGGAACAGGCGCGGCGCGGCCACCGGCGACGGAAUCUCCAGGGUCCAGCUGCUGGCGGAGGCCAUUACUUCAGUGAUCGGCCGAGAUAAACUAAACUAGGUGCGAGCCGAAGCUGCUUAGGUGCUUGUGCUGCUGCAGGUGGUUUUAGGAUUGCGCUUUUGCUUGCGUUGCCAUUAGAGUGGCGGACGGAGGACUUUAAAUAGGCGGUUAUGGCGGGGUUGGUGGCGUCCCGUGAGGAUGAGACGCUCGGGAGUCGUCGUCGGCGGCUCUUCCCACUUUGGCUUGGCACGGCACCGUCGCUCGUCGGUCCAUGUAGUUCAUUAUAAUAUACUACAUGUUGCCGGGGUUGCGGACAAACGUCUGGAAACGUGCUGCCAUUCCGUCAGCGUUCAACCCCUGAAGGUGUAGAAUAUAUAUCGUCGAAUUGGCGAGCCAAAUCAGCUUCCAGAUCAAAAAGCAUGUACUGUAAGCGUGGGUUGGUGUCAUUAGAAACGAGAAUUAUACCGUACGUGAGCGUCCUGACUACUUGCAUCACUCUUUUGGUGUCGCACUGUCGCUAUUAACUACUAAUAAUAAACAUAAUCCUGUAAAUCCACCUCUUUUUAAUCAUCCUAUAAAUACCUCUACUGGCGACAGCAUGGACAAAGCUCAUACGGAAAAUAACAUAGUGGUGGCCAAAGCUGUAUGGGAAAAUAUUGAUUGCAGACUAUCAAUUGGGUGCAAAAGUACUCAGUGUAAACUAUUAAUUAAGUGCAAAUAUAAAGACAAUUGCUAUGUCACAGUUGAUUGUUUUAGCCUCCGUGAAUAACUGAUUUCCUGGCCGUUUGAUUCUUAUCACGUGGGAUGAAAGAAAGACCAACAACGCUGCGGAAGCAGAGCGUGAGGAAGGACCGAAGGAGCCACCAGGGGUCCACUGAUGUCGCCAUUAGCACCAAGGAGAGGCCGUCGUCAGAGUCAGAGUCAGGGUUGUAGAGGGCUAUCACGUCCGUUGUCGAGGUCGGGGUGGGGUAAAGAUGGCAAUGGAUAAUUACCCGCUGGGUAUAUGCUACCCAUACCUUUACCGAUGAGAAAAUAUUUUACCCGUUAAUUUACAUAUCCAUGUAUGGGUAAGAGUUUUUUCCCAUACCCUUACCCACGUGGGUAACGGGUAAUCCAUGAGUUUUCUUACCCAUGAUUCUAAGAAUACUUGUAAAAAAUAAAUACAUAUUUAAAUAUUCUAGACUCCCAAUUUCAGCCAAAGUAUCAUAAGUCAUUAAUAAAAUCAUCAAAUAUACAAGCUCCAUGAAUACCUAAUCAAGUAAUCUAAUAGAUAAAUCCAUCAUUACUAGACAACAAGUGACAAAAUUUACAAGUUUCCGUGUUGUGCGGCCGCCGCAAGGAGAUAGGGGAAAGGUGAGAGAGCGGAUGUGUGAGGUACUAAGGUGAGGGCCUAGAGUUUGACAGCAUUAUAUAUGAUUUUUAUUGGACUUGGCCUGUGUAUGGUGAUUUUGGUCCAUAAUUCUAACUUAUUGAAUCGGGUCCAAUCCCAUACCCUUACUCGCUUUACCCGCUGGCUAAAGCUUUUUCCCAUUAUCUUACCUAUGGAUAAAAAAAAUAGUCAUACCUUUACCCUAAUGAAGUAAUUAACCAUCGGAUUUCGAGUAAAAAUUGACAUCUUUAAGGUGGGGAAUGGCCGCCGCAUCUACCAUAGCCACCUGCUUCCUGAGAUCCAUGGGGAAAGAGCCCGCCGCUAGCCGAGGGUGAGGAGCCGCCGCCUCUGUGUGGCCAACUUCAUGUCGGGCCUCUACCGUGGCGGGGGUAGCUCACAGAAGGGAAGGGAUAAAGUUGGUGAGGGUGGGUCCCACCAUAAUUGGUGAAUAAUUUGCCAUGUAUUUCUCUAAUAUCUACUAUCUAAAGAAAUAUUUUGUAUUUUUUUCUGAAAAGUUUGGCAUAUUUGUCUUUGAGAUAUGUAAUCUAUAAAAAUACCUAAGAUAUAUCACUAUAUCCAAUAAAUGACACUAUGUGUUAGCAUUUUCUCACUACAUUUUCAAAGGUGUUAACACACUAGAUUCUAAUGCAUAUGCAUUAUCAACAACAGCUAGUGACACUUGAUAAACCGCUUUUAACCAUAAUUUUCCUCUCUUUAUAGUACAGCUAUCUAGUCGACUAGUCCAAACCCAAUUAUAUCCUCUAUGGUAUCUUGAUUGGCGAAACAAGAAUGGCCCUAUCACAUACCUUUGCCUUAAGCUCAUUUUUAUUUUUCUCUUUCUUUUUUUCCAAGUUGGAGCACUUGAUCUUCACACUUGACCACCUCCAUCAUCUAUAGAUGCCAUAAUCUAGCUGGUGUGUACCAAUCCUAUUUCCUAUCUUAUAUACACCUAAAGCAAUGGUUAGUAGACUUAGAUCUCAUCAAUUAUCCGAAACUAAACUAGAACUUUCAUGUAGUGACACAACAUCUACUUUCUCUCACCCUUCCUCUUUCAUGGAAUGCAAGCAUUCAUACAUCAUUAGUAUGUUGUAUGUAAUGAGUCUCUCUAGCACAAACACCGACUGUUCUUCCGAAAUCACCUUUGGGAAAAAAUAAUCCACAGUCUGUUUGCCACCGUCUUAGAAGCAAUCUUAUAUAUCAUGUUACAUAGACUGAUGAUAGGCCAAAACAGCCCGCUCGACCAACUUCUCCACUUUUGUGAUCAAUACUAUUCAUGUGCUAUUUAUCACAGAAGGAUCAUCCUCGCCACAUAAGUCCUAGUGCCGCUAAAAAAAAUGAGCAGGAAAACCAUCUGGCCCCGGCGUUUUUGUCUUAAACAUGUGAGAAAGCUUAGUCCUGAUCUCCUCCUUUCGUAUACAAGGCGAGUGUCCUGACAACUACUUGCAUCACUCUUUUGAUGUUGCACUAUCGUUGUUAGCCUUAUCAUUAACUCCUUUCCUCUCUAAUCUCUAGAAUUAAGCAAAGAUUUGAAUGCUUUCUCAAUUUACCAUCAUAUAAUUAUUAUAUUAUAAUAUAAUCAAAUAAAUACACCUCUUUUUAUUCAUCCCGCAAAUAUAUCUAGUGGCAAUGAGUAUGGAAAGAGCUAAUACGAAAACUAUCAUAGUGGUGGCCAAAUACAUGAGAAAAUAUUCAGUGCAAACUAUAGAUUGGGUGCAAACAUAAACCCUUUAUAACAUAAUUAGAUGUUUUCUUAAAAAAAUGCCCACUUCGCCACUAAAGUUAAGAUACAAAGAAAUGGGGUGGGGGUGUGAUGCAAAGAUAUUGGAGAGUGAAUCUCUUCUUUCAAACCUCCCAAGAAACUAGUCACAAAGUAAACAUAAUCGUAGGAGCUAUUGUACAAUAGAAUUUGAUGCGCAGGCUGUUCAAGCUACUCAAAUUACUGUGACCGAACUAGUCUACUGAAGAUGAUUGUUUCAUACAUAACUCAUAUUGGUCACGAUUAAAAUAAUUACAAACCGCAUCACAAGAGCAGGCCAAGAUGUGAAACAACCACACAACUCUUUAAAUUGUAACCAAGUGGCAGCGGUCCUCCAGAACUCAAUGCAACAGAGCUAGGCUUCAAUGUCUCGCUGAUAGAGUACAUCUCAAAAUAGAUCUUACAGUGAUCCUUCCACAACCAUAAAUUGUCACCAUCAAAUUUGGGGAAAUAUGAUUUGGGCAUCGGACCAACUGGAGAUGUAUAAGAAUAUGAAUGUUCCAUCGGUCCACCUAUCAUUCCCUUGUACUUGCGUGCCCGUUAGUUAGCUAUUAUGUUCCUCUUUUUUAUUGGAUCCCAAACACCUCUGCUUCUAGACCAACUUCCAUCGUCGUCUACACAUAUCCCAUGGAGUUAGAGCAAGUUUAAUUAAUACAGUCCACUUGCUGACUGUAAGGUUCCUUACAGCCUUCUUUCAGCCCCACCCAUACAAUAGUUAGUUAUUCAUUAUUAAUACAUGACUCACUUAUCUCUCUUACAAAGUUUUCAGCUUACAACAUGCUUCUCUUCUCUCUCCUCCACCUCAGUAUUUAGCCAGCUUACAGCCCACUAUAAUACUUGCUCUUAUGACAAAUGCCUACUUCUCUCGCCUUUUUAGUGAACACUAUAACUCCUGGAGUCUUCAUAUUAUUCGAAAAAUAAAUUCAAAUUUCAACAAUGACACAUUCAGCAGAAUAAAAAGUCUCCAAAUUUCUAUUAAAAAAGAGCAAACAUUCCUUAUUCAGUCAAACUUGCAAAGGAUUUCAAAACAGAAGACCUCGUAUAACCAUGAGGGUGUAAGUAAUCUCACAAACAAAGCAUCACAAACCACUUAUAAUCUCAAGUCCAUACACGGUACACCACACACUGCAUAGAGCAACUUUAUUUUGUUUUGUAUGAAAAAAGAGGAAAACUCCAGGAAAGAAAAAAGAAAAUUAAACCCAAACUUCAGGAAGGGGAAUCGCAUCCCAAUCGACUGAUUUAGUUGUAGGCGUCGGGGUUGGCGACGAGGUAGGCCUCGGCACCCUUGAAAAUGGCGGUGACUGCCUCCUUGGCCUUGACUUCCUCGUCCUUCUCGUCUACGCCAGGCAGCAGCUUGUAGGUCGACUCCACCUUCACCACGCUGCCGCCGCCGGCCGCGGGCUCCACCUUGAUGUGCGACGCCGCG
rnacentral:lncRNA from 1 species